AAACGGACAUGCGUCCCCCAGAGGAAGGAAGGGUGUGGAGGGGAAAACGAAGGUGCCCUGAUGGGGAGAUAACGGGGCUAGAAUUCCAAGGCCCCCUCUCUCUGAUAUCAGGUUCUCCAGGGAGACAGAUCUGGGCUUCUCAGCAGAGGCCGCAGCUGCUCAGACUUGGUCUCUGGAACCUACUGCGCCACUCCCUGCCUCACUUCCCAUGAACCAGAAGGUGGCUCCUGCCCGCUGGCCAGAAACAGAGACCUUUCACAAAGACCAGGCUCUCCUCCUCUCCACGGAUAAAGACAGCUUUCCCAGCUGGGGUGCAGCCCUGCACUGGCAAAUUUGGCAGCACAGCCCUCUCAGGGUCACUGGGGAGGUGAGCCCAGUGCAAUGACUCACAAAUGAUGGGGUGGCCUCUCAGCCUGGCCUGGGAGGUCCAUGAGUCCUGGGUGGACAGUGAUAUGCCCUUUUGCUGUGGUUUUAUAGAUGGGAAAAGUUCUCUGACUGUGCCUCAGACCUGAAGCCCCACCUGGUUAGUUAUAGAAAGCUGCAGGUGCCGGCAGCCAGGAAGGCUUUGGGGGUGAGGUCAGCUCUUUGGGGAGCAGAAGAUGAAGAUGCUGGCUUUGGGAGGGGAGGAGGGGUUGGCCUCCUUCUCACUGCUCUAUGGUUCAAGGUCUGAACACAGGUCGUUUGUACCAGGUCACACCCUGCUCCAAUAUAGCUCAAAGUACAACUGACGCCUGCUCACCACACCCUCCAACUACAAGGGUCACACCUGUGCUAGACCCUUCCUUCUCUAGAAAGCACCCAACACUCACGGUGACCACAAGCUUGGAUAUCCUUUCUCUUAUGACCAUGACACUGGCCAGAUCCAACAGCCUAGCUGGAGGGAUGGGCUCCGAGGGGCUCUGGGGUGGGGCCAGGCCAGCGUGUGGUCCCUGGGGCCGGCUGCUUGCAUCUCAGUCCCUGCUCCCACCAUGUCCCUGACUAGGAGGCUGUGGGCAAGUGGCCUGUAUGUGUCUCUGCACCUUGGCCUUCUCAUGAGUAAACCAGAGGGCUCUGGGACAAGGACUGAAGCAGGGACAGUGGGAGGAGCCGGAGGGCCUCACCUCCUCAAUGUUGCGAAUCCAGUUCCGGAUGUUGUCGAAGGACUUCUCGUUGGUGAUGUCGUAGACCAGCAUGAUGCCCUGCGCGGGGAGAGAAGACACAGGUGCCUGAUCGGCUGCAGGCUCUGGAAGGGAGGCCUCAGCGGCACCAGAGAACAGUGGUGGGGAGCCCAGCACCCACUGCACAGCCGGGCCCAUUAGCUGCCGCCCUCCCCACCUCUGUGGAGCCCCGGAAGCCAGCCCCCUCCUCUCCAUCCCUGUGGCCCUUCUUUCUGCUGGGUUCUGGCACCAGCCUUGUCCUGCCCCCCGGGCCGCUGAGGUGACCCUUCUGGCUCACAGGCCAGCCCCUGCCACGCCCUCGCUGACAAGCCCGGCUGGCUCCCCUCAUGGCCCACGGGGUGGUGCAGCCUGACGGUGGGAGCCGGUCCACAGGCCCACUGCCAGCAGCACUCCCCUCACGCCGACCCUCCCCUGCAAUCGGCCUCCUCUUCACCCCUUGCUCACCCCACGCUCUGCCUGAGCCACCUACCAGGCACAACUGAGCCCAGGAAGUCCUGACCCGACAUCCACACAACUUCCAGUGACCCCACCACAGAGGGAACCGGCUGUGUGAAGAUGGAGCCGAGUGCCGAGGCCCUUCCAGUUCCCUAACCUAGACGUGAGCAACUGGGAGAAGGCUCGUGGGUCCUGGAAGAGCUUCGGGGCAGCCCCGCCUCAGCCUGGGCCCACAGCCUCGCUACUGCUGUGGACAAGCGCAAACAUGCCCAUGCGAUGCAAGGGGAAACUGAGGCACAGAGAUGUGACCUUUAAGAUUCAAGCACGGGGGGCGGGGAGGGGGGGGCUAACUCCAAAAGCGCUGAUGACACCUAUCCUCUCAGCAAUAUCCCUGGGCCUUUUUCAGCCCCAGAACCCACAUGUGGGGGCCACCCUCUGACGGUCUGUGUGUGGUUCUCGAUGUCCUUGUGGAGUGCCCACAGCGGGCCAGCCUGCAGUGCCAUCACAAGUCCCCCUUUGUUGCCGGGCAUCCUGGGCUCCAAGGCACGUGGCCUGCUCAUGUCCAGGCCUGGAUUUCUUCCUUCCUCCUCGCUACCUGCUCCCCAGGCCCAGCCCUGCAUCUGUGGCACCUGAGGGCACUGAUGACUUCUGCUGCUGGCCAAGUUGUCUGGGGCCAUCCAAGUUUGCAGAAUAAGGACACGGGCCAUGUGGUAAUGGUGAGACAGGUGUGGGUGCAAGAGUGUGGGACAAAAAUGACACAGAUGGGGCAAGAAAGUCACUGCAACCCCAAAUCCUCCUGGGAAUUCAGGGACAUGAAUAAUGGCCUCACAGUCAGCCGCAACCAUGGCGAAGAACCUCAAGGCUGCAGUGGCCCAUGAUGUCUGCCAUGCCCCAUCCACGGUGGGCACACCCUGUGACUGUGACAUGGUCAGGGACAGGGGGCGUGGGGCCCUUUAUCCGGGGACUGGACCCUCUGAAAGCCCAGGAUUCCUGCCUUCACCACUAAGUUGGUGACAUGUGCCUAAGACUCAAAUUCCUGGAUUAUACCUAUUUCAGGGAGCUGAGGGGAGAACCUGGACGUUAGUGGGGCAGUGGGGAGAGCUCUCUCUUAGAAUCAAGCAGAAGCACCUGGAAAACACUGAGCCAGCCAUCCUAUUCCAGGUUUUCCUGGAAACACCCCUCAGGGCUCCAAGUGACUAUUUUCCAGGGCCCCGUCUGGGCAAACCUUACCAUGGGUCUCUGGGCAUCCAAUGCUUCCCAAACUUGGGAUUUUGAGGCCCAAGGGUCUAUGAGCAUGCUGACAGAGAUGAGGACACAGCUGCAAUGGUGGUGCUGUCCCAUAUGACUGAUACUGGCUACACAAGGCUCUAGGGCAUCAGAAACAUAGCUGCUUUGACCC
rnacentral:antisense_RNA from 1 species